rnacentral:rRNA from 1 species
AUUGAACGCUGGCGGCAGGCCUAACACAUGCACGUCGAACGAGUGGCGGACUGGUGAGUAAUGUCUGGGAAACUGCCUGAUGGAGGGUGAUAACUACUGGAAACGGUAGCUAAUACCGCAUACCAUCGGAUGUGCCCAGAUGGGAUUCGCUAGUAGGUGGGGUAAAGGUGCACCUAGGCGACGAUGCCUAGCUGGUCCGAGAGGAUGACCAGCCACACUGGAACGGAGACACGGUCCAGACUCCUACGGGAGGAAGCAGUGGGGAAUAUGGCACAAUGGGCGAAAGCCUGAUGGAGCCAUGCCGCGUGUAUGAAGAGGGGCUUCGGGUUGUAAAGUACUUUCAGCGGGGAGGCGGUACCCGCAGAAGAAGCACCGGCUAACUCCGUGCCAGCAGCCGCGGUAAUAC